AUGGAUUAUCUGGUGCAGAUUUUCAGCCUCCUACUACUCAGUGUCACAGUGUCCAAUGGAGAGAUUGUUCUCACCCAGUCUCCAGCAUCCAUGGCUGCUUCUCAAGGGGAGAGGGUCACAAUGACCUGUGGUGCCAGCUCAAGUGUAAGCUCCAGUUACUUGCACUGGUACCAGCAAAAGCCAGGAUCCUCCCCUAAACGCCUGAUUUAUAGCACAUCCAGCCUGGCUUCUGGAGUCCCAGCUCGCUUCAGUGGCAGUGGAUCUGGGACCUCUUACUCUCUCACAAUCAGCAGCAUGGAGGCUGAAGAUGCUGCCAUUUACCAUUGUCAGCAAGGGGAUAGUUACCCAUCCACACAGUGA